rnacentral:rRNA from 1 species
UACAGAGGUGGCAAGCGUUGUUCGGAAUUACUGGGCGUAAAGGGCGCGUAGGCGGUCUUGUAAGUCUUGUGUGAAAUCCCUCGGCUCAACUGAGGAACUGCACGGGAUACUGCGAGACUUGAGUUCGGGAGAGGGAAGCGGAAUUCCGGGUGUAGCGGUGAAAUGCGUAGAUAUCCGGAGGAAUACCGGUGGCGAAGGCGGCAUCCUGGACCAUUACUGACACUGAACCGCGAAAGCUAGGGGAGCAAACGGG